rnacentral:tRNA from 1 species
GGUUGUGGCUCAGCGGUAGAGCACUCACCUAGCAAUGUGAGGCACUGGGUUCGAUCCUCGGCACCA